rnacentral:rRNA from 1 species
UUUUAUUACCAACCAACCGCGUGAUUUAAUUGAAUUAAAUUUACCCGUCUUGAAACACGGACCACCUGUCUAUUUACACGGAGUGAUGAGUGUGUUUGUAUGUGUGAAAGCAUAUAGAAGCAUACGGUGUAUUUAGGCUUGUAAUGCUUCGACAUUACGGGAUUAUCUCUCUUUCAAGCUAUCAAUCUUACCAAUGUUCCCUUCAUCGCUGGAACGAACAAACCCCUUUCACCCCUUUAUAACUAACUAGACUGAUAUAUUUUCUGAGAUAGCAUUCAUUUGUUAUUUCUCGAAAUGAUUUUAAUCAAAUAUCUAAGCACAACUCUUAGCAACGGAUAUCUUGGUUCUCGCAACGAUGAAGAACGCAGCGAAAUGCGAUAUGUAAUGCGAAUUGCAGAAUACAGUGAAUCAUCAAAUCUUUGAACGCAAAUGGCGGUCUCGGGUUAGUCCUGAGACCACGCCUCUCUCAGUAUCGGUUCAACCUCACCUCGGAUGCGUAAUUAUAAUGCAAAUUAUAUUUACUUACUGCCGGAUAAUGAGAGUAAUAUUGCUAGCAAUAGCGGUAUUUCUCUUUAAAUGCGUUGAGCUCUGAUCUCCUAGUAAUUUGUUAGCAUUCAUUUGUUGACAAUAGCCUAUUUUGCUAUUUCCUUUCCUUUCAUUACUAGUGAACGUGGAUAACUUCAUGCCUUCGGGUGUGGAUUGAAACG